rnacentral:rRNA from 1 species
UGGGGAAUAUUGGACAAUGGGCGAAAGCCUGAUCCAGCCAUGCCGCGUGAGUGAUGAAGGCCUUAGGGUUGUAAAGCUCUUUCAGUAGGGAAGAUAAUGACGGUACCUACAGAAGAAGCCCCGGCUAACUUCGUGCCAGCAGCCGCGGUAAUACGAAGGGGGCUAGCGUUGUUCGGAUUUACUGGGCGUAAAGCGCACGUAGGCGGUUUGUUAAGUCAGAGGUGAAAUCCCGGAGCUCAACUCCGGAACUGCCUUUGAUACUGGCAAGCUAGAGUCCGGAAGAGGUAAGUGGAACUCCUAGUGUAGAGGUGGAAUUCGUAGAUAUUAGGAAGAACACCAGUGGCGAAGGCGGCUUACUGGUCCGGAACUGACGCUGAGGUGCGAAAGCGUGGGGAGCAAACA